rnacentral:rRNA from 1 species
AGAGUUUGAUCCUGGCUCAGGAUUAACGCUAGCGGCAGGCCUAAUACAUGCAAGUCGAACGAGAUUUCGGGUAGCAAUAUCUGAAUGAAAGUGGCGCACGGGUGCGUAACGCGUAUGCAAUCUACCGCUGACUGGGGAAUAGCCCUCCGAAAGGAGGAUUAAUACCGCAUAACACUGCGAAGUGGCAUCACUUUGCAGUCAAAACUCUGGUGGUCAGCGAUGAGCAUGCGUCCGAUUAGCUAGUUGGUGAGGUAACGGCUCACCAAGGCUACGAUCGGUAGGGGGUCUGAGAGGAUGAUCCCCCACACUGGUACUGAGACACGGACCAGACUCCUACGGGAGGCAGCAGUAAGGAAUAUUGGACAAUGGGCGCAAGCCUGAUCCAGCCAUGCCGCGUGAAGGAUGAAUGCCCUAUGGGUUGUAAACUUCUUUUAGCAGGGAAAAAACCCCUCGAUGCGUCGGGGGCUGAUGGUACCUGCGGAAUAAGGAUCGGCUAACUCCGUGCCAGCAGCCGCGGUAAUACGGAGGAUCCAAGCGUUAUCCGGAUUUAUUGGGUUUAAAGGGUGCGUAGGCGGAUAAAUAAGUCAGUGGUGAAAGCCUGCAGCUCAACUGCAGAACUGCCAUUGAUACUGUUUAUCUUGAAUAUGGUUGAGGUGGGCGGAAUAUGACAUGUAGUGGUGAAAUACUUAGAUAUGUCAUAGAACACCGAUUGCGAAGGCAGCUCACUAAGCCAUCAUUGACGCUGAGGCACGAAAGCGUGGGGAGCAAACAGGAUUAGAUACCCUGGUAGUCCACGCCCUAAACUAUGAUCACUCGAUGUUGGCAAUACACCGUCAGCGUCUAAGGGAAACCAUUAAGUGAUCCACCUGGGGAGUACGACCGCAAGGUUGAAACUCAAAGGAAUUGACGGGGGCCCGCACAAGCGGAGGAGCAUGUGGUUUAAUUCGAUGAUACGCG